AUGAUAGUUAUGGAGCAAAAUUGCAAAGUUUGAAAGUCGCGAAUCAAUCUUGAUAGUGCUACUAUAGUCGUGGGAUCAAAAGUGCAAAAA